rnacentral:rRNA from 1 species
CGGCGGACGGGUGAGUAAUGUCUGGGAAACUGCCUGAUGGAGGGGGAUAACUACUGGAAACGGUAGCUAAUACCGCAUAACGUCGCAAGACCAAAGAGGGGGACCUUCGGGCCUCUUGCCAUCAGAUGUGCCCAGAUGGGAUUAGCUAGUAGGUGGGGUAACGGCUCACCUAGGCGACAAUCCCUAGCUGGUCUGAGAGGAUGACCAGCCACACUGGAACUGAGACACGGUCCAG